ACCUAAAUGUUGUGCCUGUGCUGAUAAUGUGUUUAUUUUAAUUCAUUCAUUAAUUUAUUUAUUUAACUUUUUUUUAUGCCAGUGUCUUCCCACUGAGGCGGAGCUUAGGAGAACAGCAAACCUCCAACAUAGUGAAGAUUCUGAUGGAAGCUCUGUCUGGGAUUUGGAUAGAAGAAUGCGUCAGGAGGAUGGUGGCUGCACGUUUUCAUAGCUGUGUAGGGUGGUACCUGUGGCAGAGAUCAUGGGCCAUUUGUCCUUCAGGAGGCUCUCUAUGUCGCCUCUCAGCGCAGACAUGCAGUCAGUCACAGGUUUGAAUGUCGGACGUUGAGGAUAAACAACAGGACCAGGUGGCCGGUCUGGAGUUUCACAGGAGGUGGAGAGGGACUUGAAAGUCUAGAGGAGUGGAAUUCAAUAAGGUUGGUGAUCUCCUCCUCCAGCUGCAGCUGCAGCUCAUCAGCCUGAGCGACUGCAGUCUGCUCCUGGGCUUUGAUCAGCUGCUUCACCAAAGUGCGUCUUUUC